rnacentral:rRNA from 1 species
GAUGAACGCUAGCGGCAGGCUUAAUACAUGCAAGGCGAGGGGGCAGCAAUGUCACCGUCGUACGGGUGCGUAACGCGUAUGCAACCUACCUAUCACUGGGGGAUAGCCCGGGGAAACCCGGAUUAAUACCGCAUAAUACAGGGGGCCCACAUGGGUCUAUUUGUUAAAGAUUUAUCGGUGGUAGAUGGGCAUGCGUUCGA